UGAAGUCAUCCUUCCUGUGCAAAUAGAAAAUCUGAAAGGAAAAAAAAUUUGUUUUCCAAAUACAACUAAAUAACUAUAAUCUCAACUAUGGAUGGGAAUUCUACACUGUCAAGAAACUUUUUGACUCUUUUGAAGAAACUGACAAAGCAAUUCAGCUUGAUAAAAUGACAGAAGUUUACAUCAGUGAUACUUCAAAUGAAUGUAGCAACAACUUAUCAAUUGAAGAAGAUGGUGAUUGUACAAAAUUUCAAAAACUUGAUGUUCAAACCAAUGUGCAACUCACACCAACAUCUGUACUCAAGGAAAACAAAAGGGCAUAUUUAGGGACUACUACAAAGCAACAAAGGAAGAAGAUACAAAAAACACUUUAAAGUU